rnacentral:rRNA from 1 species
UAGGGAAUCUUCGGCAAUGGACGAAAGUCUGACCGAGCAACGCCGCGUGAGUGAAGAAGGUUUUCGGAUCGUAAAACUCUGUUGUUAGAGAAGAACAAGGACGUUAGUAACUGAACGUCCCCUGACGGUAUCUAACCAGAAAGCCACGGCUAACUACAUGCCAGCAGCCGCGGUAAUACGUAGGUGGCAAGCGUUGUCCGGAUUUAUUGGGCGUAAAGCGAGCGCAGGCGGUUUCUUAAGUCUGAUGUGAAAGCCCCGGCUCAACCGGGGAGGGUCAUUGGAAACUGGGAGACUUGAGUGCAGAAGAGGAGAGUGGAAUUCCAUGUGUAGCGGUGAAAUGCGUAGAUAUAUGGAGGAACACCAGUGGCGAAGGCGGCUCUCUGGUCUGUAACUGACGCUGAGGCUCGAAAGCGUGGGGAGCAAACAGG